AUUCUGCCCAUGCGGGGAAGGAUGAGAAGCCUCGACCAAGGUUCGACUCGAGCGCCAGCGAGAGAGCGUUGCCGCAGGCAACGACCCGAAGGGCGAAG
rnacentral:sRNA from 1 species